AUAUGUAACAUUUUAAAAUAUCCACAUGUGAAUCUACCGCACUAAACUGGAAAUGAAUAUUAAUCUAAAAUUCAAACAUAGGUACUAAGUUAAUAAUACUGUGUUUUGACACGGCGAAACAUCGUCAUUGUAAUAAGUAAAAAAACCAUCAAUGCUAAUUUGCAACGUAAACACACCAUUAGCUCAAUAUUGAAACUGGUUAUUAUAACCACAAUUCAAUUUUUUUAGUGCUUCUUAGCAGACAAUCGUCCAUAGUGAUGUCAGUAUUUCGCGUGCGCAUUUUAAACUAAUUUAAUUACGAUUACCUUUCAGUUUGUUUCUAGUAUCUUUUAGUGGUGGACUGUGUUGUUUUUUCCAAUAUAAUUAUAUUAAUAUCCAGUAAACGCAUGAACGAGAUACAUGCAUUAAUAAUCUGAAGUUAAACCUAAACGUUUCGUCAACAUCAGCCGAUUUCAUCAGAUGGCGAUCGAGUAAAUCCAAACCACAAGCCAGAAUCCGUACCAGUUUAAAAGACAAAUACUCCAGGGGAAGCCUAGACAACGUAUCGAGAAUUCCUUGGGAGGAAUGUAAUUUGGAUGAAGAAUCGACUUUAAGAAGGACACGAAGUUUGGCCAUUUCACGAGAGAACUUGUUUUAUAGCCUGGAUUACAUCGAGACUACCGAGAAUCACAGAAGAAGAGCUCAACUUAUUCCACGUGCCAAACUUAUUGAGAAGUCAUUUAUUAAGGAUUCUAGAUACGAACCCUUUCAAGUGGAAAACAUUCGAGCGCCCGCCAAGAAAAUUCUCAAUAAACCGGAGGAAAUUCCUCCUGACUACAGUCCUUUACCACGAAAUAUUAGCCUCAAUCAUUUCCCACACGA
rnacentral:lncRNA from 1 species